UACGGAGGGGGCUAGCGUUGUUCGGAAUUACUGGGCGUAAAGCGCGCGCAGGCGGUCUUCCAAGUCAGUGGUGAAAGCCCGGAGCUCAACUCCGGAACUGCCAUUGAAACUGUUAGACUUGAGGAUGAGAGAGGUGAGUGGAAUUCCCAGUGUAGAGGUGAAAUUCGUAGAUAUUGGGAAGAACACCGGUGGCGAAGGCGGCUCACUGGCUCAUUACUGACGCUCAGGCGCGAUAGCGUGGGGAGUCAAACAGG
rnacentral:rRNA from 1 species